rnacentral:rRNA from 1 species
GACGAACGCUGGCGGCGUGCCUAAUACAUGCAAGUAGAACGCUGAAGGAGGAGCUUGCUUCUCUGGAUGAGUUGCGAACGGGUGAGUAACGCGUAGGUAACCUGCCUGGUAGCGGGGGAUAACUAUUGGAAACGAUAGCUAAUACCGCAUAAUAGUAGAUGUUGCAUGACAUUUGCUUAAAAGGUGCAAUUGCCUCACUACCAGAUGGACCUGCGUUGUAUUAGCUAGUUGGUGGGGUAACGGCUCACCAAGGCGACGAUACAUAGCCGAGCUGAGAGGGAGAACGGCCACCCUGGGACUGAGACACGGCCCAGACUCCUACGGGAGGCAGCAGUAGGGAAUCUUCGGCAAUGGACGGAAGUCUGAACGAGCAACGCCGCGUGAGUGAAGAAGGGUUUCGGAUCGUAAAGCUCUGUUGUAAGAGAAGAACGAGUGUGAGAGUGGAAAGUUCACACUGUGACGGUAUCUUACCAGAAAGGGACGGCUAACUACGUG